rnacentral:lncRNA from 1 species
UGCCAUUUAGGUGGAUGACAAAAAGUGUGGCAAUAAUGCUAUACAAGUUAUGUGGGUUUUGCUUCUCAGGGCUCAUUCUUCAUUGUUUCUGUUACUUGAUUGGCAACUGUUUUUUGUGAUUUGCUUGGAGCUUUUAAUGUUGAUUUGUAGACAAGGUGUGGCUGUUGAAAAAGGAUUUAAGGAUCAUGAGUGAUGAGGACUGCAAUUUCAAAAGGCAAACAUUUUGGAAUAUGUGCAGGCAGGGAGGCAGAGAUGUUGACUGCAUUAGUCUUUUCUUGAGAUUUUCUGUCACUGGAUUUGUUUUAAUUAAUACUUUUUCUUAGCCAUCUAUAGGUUGUUACUGAAGUAUACAGAACCAAAUAUGGGUCCAAGAAACCACGAUGCUUUUUUAAUCUAUUAAUGAUACCUUUUUAUUCUACUGACAUGAAUUGCAAACAUUAUUUUUUUUUCCUUCAUCGGUCCAGGAUUUUGGGAUGAAGUUGAUUUUUAAGUCAUGGUUUUUACUACACUUUUUAUAUUACAAGAAAGUUAGAAUUGAUAAGCAUUGGUACUGCAAGUAAUAUAACCUUGAAGAUUAAUUAAAUUGUAGAACACCAUCACGGAAGAAAUAAUAGAUUUAAUUGGAAUAGUUGUGCAAUGGUUUCUUAUUGUUUGGAAGACCUCAUUAAUUAAGAUAGAAAAAACUGAUAGGAGUAUUGUAUUUCUGUUUCUGUUAAAUCAUGAAUGGAUAAUUUGUAAUUUUAAUUUGUCAAAGAUCAGCUAUACAUGUAAUUGAGGAAUUCAGGUGCUCUUAAAAUGACUAUUGAGUGAACUUAAUACCAUUUUGUUUAGAAAUGCUAAAUAUUUAAGAAGUCGUCUUUUUUGUUUGAAAGUUUUUUUAAAAGGUUGGAUGAUUUUAAUCUUAAUAUUGCAUAUAUGUUAAAUUUGUCGUGUUUUUUAAUAGCCCCAUAAAAAUAAAAAUGCAACUUAUCCUAACACAUAAAAAUUGUUAUUGUUUGUGUUAAAUUCUACUAUAUUUUAAUCCACAUUAUAAAUGUCCGUGCGUCAGCACGGUUGGUUAUCUAAUUUAUUUAUAUUUCUUACGGAAGCUUAGUGACAUUUUUUCCCCUAAUGUUUUCCAAUACACUUCAAAUUUUAAUUUAAUGUUUUCCCUCCCACCAUUUUCUAUAUUGCCACGUCAUAUCAGGAUUUUGGAGAAAUUUUGGAGAAAGCAAUAUUAAAAAUGAUAUAUAGGAUAAAAAUAUGUAAAAAAAAUGUAUUCUUUGAUACUGCAAUCAAUAUUUCAUAAAAAUUGACAAAUGUUUAAUAUUGCUUUCUCCAAAAUUUUCCAAAAAACAUAUCUCUCUCCUUCCAAAAAAUUGGUUUCCUCUCUCUAAAUCCCUAAAUCCCUUAUACCCUAAAAAACAUUGGUUUUCCAAAUCAAUUGGUUCGAUCGCCAUCAAUCUCUUUGCAGUUCUAUCUCACGGCUCUUUGAAACGCACCGUUUUAAAGCUGAAAGAAAGGGUUUCGGUUCCACACAAUACAAACACAAACACUCUUCGAUUUCAAAGGUUUUAGUUUCUUUCCUCAGUUUCUGCUUUCAAUUUUCUUCGAUUCUGAUUCGAUUUUCUCCGCUUUCUUUUCUCAGUUUUUCUCAGAUUUUGCUUUCAAAGGUUUGUGUUGCAUCGAUUUUUGUUGAUUGUUUUUUGGCUUAAACCCACUUUUGACCCCCUAAGUUUUCAAAAGUUGCAAUUUUGACCCCCUAUUAAAAAAAAUGGCAAAAGCCACCCCUCAUGUUUAGCCCCUUUUGCAAAACCCCAAUUUUGACUUAGUCAAGCCUACGUGUCAUGCCAUAUAAUUUCAAAAGUUGACAGCUGUGUAUUUUUUAAAUUAUAAAAAAAAAAAAAAAAAACCAAGCGUGUAAUUACAUAAUUAAAAAAAAUGAAAAAAAUGAAAGUGUUAUUUGGAGAGGCACGCAUGAGCUUCUUCCCCAAACCACACCACCACCUCCCAACAACCAUCACCUCCCCUUUAGUUCUUUCCACCACAUCAUAAUCAAAAAACACAACCACAUCCUUAAAAUCAACAACAUUAGCAAACCUAAUCCAUAUUUUAAGAACCCAAUCCAAUUAGUGAAAACCCAAAUCAACCCACGUAAUUUCAGAAAAAUUAAACCAGUACAAUAUAUCCUUAAACCAGUUAAAAACUGGUGUUUUCCCAAAGGAAGAACUCACUUUCAGAAUAAAUUCACAAACUAAUUUCAUUUCUCAAAUUAAAUCAGUUUUUUCUUCAUAUCGUGAUUCUCUCUACAGUGUCAACCAUCUUCACAAAAUCACUUCAAAUCCUUCACACCGUGUUAAAUAUCCACGAACGCGAUUCUCAGAAACGUGAUUCAAUAAGAUCUGACCAAAACCGCGUUUCAAAAUUAAGUACUAAUUAACUUUAUUUAAAAUGAUUGAGAAGGAGAACAAAUCUCUGAUCUAAUUGGAUGUUUAUUGGGAGGAGGAGGUAUUGGUUUAAGUUUGGUAUGGAUUGAAGAUGAUAGUGUUUCUGGUAAAUUAAUAGACGAUUGAAUGGCGAAGAUAAAGGUUUGGUAUGGAUUCAAGAUGAAAGUUCAAUGUUAUCUUUCAUGAAGAUUGCACGUGCCUGCCAAUUUUUUCUUGAUUUUUUCUUUUUUUUAUUCUGCAAUUACAAGUGUGGAUAUUUGUGCUCGUGAUUUUCGGAUAUCAAACCAUUAAUUGAUUUGAAUCGUCAAUCUUUGAACUCUCGAUUUUUAUUCGUGGGAAUGGAAAAAAAUGAGUAAAAAUCCUUAAGACUUUGGAUUCGGGGGUUGGUUACGCGAAGGGAAGGUGCUAGCACCCUAAGCGUCUAUGGUAUUCCAUAGGAACCUCUUACCUAGAUUAUCUUGUGCUAAAUUCAUUUGCUUACUUGAAAAAUUAUUACCUAAAAAUCUAAGUGAAAGAAUGGAGGGAGAAUAAGUAUGUUUUUGGUUAUUUUUAUUUGAUUUGGAAGGAUUGACUCCCUUGCCUACAUACCCUUAAAGAAAGGGAUCAAAACCAAUGUAGUUCACCUCAAAAAUUUCUUUGGUGGGUUAGGUUGAUUUUAAGAUUUUUGAAAAAUGGGUUUUAAGAAGAGAAAGAGGCCUCAAGGCAUGAGAUAAAGAAAACAAGUGAGGUUGAUUGAUUUUAAAGUUUAAAAAUGGUUGAAGUUGAAUUAAGAUUGAUUGAGAAUUUGAUUAAGAAAAUAAAGAGAAAAUGUUGUUAAGAAAAUUAUUUUUGAAUUUAACAUAUUUAGGUUUUUUGAUAAAAAGGUUUUUCUAAACUAAUGGUAAGCUAACGUAACGACGUAAAAAAACAAGCGGAAAGCGGUAAAUAAAUUGUGGUAGUGUCGGUGUUUGUGUUACCUACAUUAUUACAUCAAUUCCUAAAUACAACUCUAAGACCUUUAUGCCAAAAUAAAAUGCAAGAAAUAAAACUUACAUCAAUUUCCUAUUUAUACACACUAAGUCAAUGACAAAAUAAAAUGAUGAGAAAGUUAAAUGUGCAUGCUAUAAUUCAAAACAAAGAUUAAAUCGUUAGUAAGCAUAAGGAAUAUUGUGAUGAAUGAGACAUAAGAAGUAAUAAGCAAGAAAUUAAGAUUAAACAUAUGAAAAUAACAAGUGACAAUUAAAAUCAUCAUAUAAAGACACAAUAAAGCAACAAUUGAAAUCAAGUGAAGGAAUGAGCAAAAAAAUUAAAAGAAAUAAGUAGGAUGAAUUUUUGAAAAUUAGAGAAAAUUAAGAUGAUAAGAACAAUAUUUUUUUUUGGAAUUUUUUAAAAGCAUUAAAAUGUCAAAAAAAGUAUAAAAAGUAUUUAAAAAUAAAGAACAAUUAAAAGAAAGAAAUUGGCUCAGCAGGAUACAAUCUGGACCGUUGGAUGAAUCCAGAGGUCCAGAUCUAAAUCCCAAGAUCUCAUCACAGCCACAGGAUCUAAGAUCCAACAGUUAAAAACAGCACAAAAAUAGAGAAGCAAUCACAGAAAGCACAGCGAUCGUCAGAUCAAAGAUCUGACGGUUCAAACAGCAGGCACAUAGUGAACUACAAAAAGAACACGCGCUGGAUUAAACAAGGGAGCAUCAGCGGCCUUUAGAUUUACGAUCUGACGGCCUAACUUCAACAAGCGCGUGAUAAGUCUAGGAAAUACAUGUACAGGAUUUAAGCAACAAACAAAGUAUAUAAACUGAAUUAAAGAAGAAAAAACAUAAACUCACACUAAAACCUCUCUCUAAGACUAACUCUAGAGAGAGAGACUCUCACUUCUCUCUACAAAAGACAGCCGCUCCUCCACCUUCUUCUCCGGUAAGCAAAAAAUUUCCGGUGCGGUGGCCGGUGGUGGCGCCACCGCGCCGGAGUUUCAAACUCCUCCGAUUCAAAAACUUUUUAUAUUUUUAAACAUCCUUUUUCCUUCUCUUUUCAAAUCUCAAAUAUGAUGUAAAAAAAGUAUGAUCAAAUAAAGGGAGUCCCUAAUAUGGACCCUAAAAAUAAAGGUCCAUCCAUGGACCUGUGCAUAUUACCUACUACAACAGGUUACCUUAAAAAAAAUUACAAAAGGUUAGAGCAAGGAAUGAGAGGGGCACUGGUAGUUUCACAGAAGAUAUUGGAAGGUGGAUGGAAUUGAAAGAGAGUUGGAAAGGAAGAUUUGGUUGAAUCUUACAAGAAAAUAAUCAUUGAAAGUUUUCUACAUAGAUCUAUGAUGUUGGAUUUUGAACUUUCAUCAUCACUAUUGCAUUUUGCACAUAAGUUUUAUCUGGAUGUUGAGAACUUGGAGUUUAUUUUUUAUUUUUUUUCGGUAGCUCAAUUUUUUUCCGUGAACAUUAAUAUUAAUUCACAUAUGUCAAUCCUUUUAUUUUACUGCUUGUGUAAUCUCUUUCUGCAUAACAGAAACAAAAACCCAACUAAUUUCUGUUAUUUUAAUUUUAAUUUCAUUUAAAUGUAAGAAAAUGAUUCCCAGGGUGAAUUAACAAAAUAAAAUAGCAACCCAAUGUCACUUAGUUGUUGUUAAGUUGUAUCCAUAAGUUUGCUUAUCAAAUCUCAAAUGACUUUACUGCAAAUCAAAGUCAUGCUGGCUAGUGCUUGGAGAAGAGUGAAGUAGUUGGGUGAUUUUGUGAUGAAGAUAAUAAAAUUCAAUUUUUACUAGGGUAACCUGCUAUAGCAGGUAAUAUGCAUGGUUCAUUGGUGAACCUUUAUUUUUGAGAUCCAUAUUAGUGCUCCCUCAAAUAAAUACUCAAUCAAAUAUGAUGUAAAAAAAAAUAUUCAAUCAAAUAAAUAGAAUCCAAGCACAUAUAUAAGCUCUAUUUCAUAAUUCAUUUCCAACUCCCACCAAAUCUCAAUCAUCAUAGAUACACUCUUCUAGCCUUGAAUUAGCAUGGCCAAAUCAUCAUAGACUACAAGAAAAAUGCACAGCUGAUCCUAAGCUAGCCCCUAGGCGGUUUACACACAACUUUCUAGGCGUUUGUUAAGUCAUUGGUGAUGUGAUCAACAUCAUUAAUCACUUGAUUCAUCACAUCUUAAUAACCAAACACCGCCUUCAUUUAAUUGCUCCAUCUAUCGUAAUUCUUUCCAUCCAAGAUUGGAAAAUUGAUAGGGAAUUGAUCAUGAUUAAAUGCCACCGUUGUUGAUCGGUGAGGCCUACAUUACUCUCUCUUAUUUAGAAGGUAAUUUACCCUCUCAUGAUAUCAACCAAUCAAAAUGUAAUAUACAUAGAUAACAUUAAAUGUCAAAUGAAUGAGUAGAUUUUUUUAAAAAUAAAAGAGUUAAUCUUAAUUUUUUUUUUUUUGAAGGAGAGUUAAUCUUAAUCAUAAGGUAACUUUUAAUACUUUUAAUUUUUUAUUUUUUUUUGAAACAACAAAUGAUUUAAUUUUUUUUUUAUAUUAAGGUGUUCAAUCUUAAUUAAUUUACACUACAAGACUUAUAACAAAUACAAUUUUACAUAAAAUUUCUUCCAUUCUAGAACCCCGAACGUGAGAACAAAAACAUCUCCUUCUUUCAAAUUUCUUCUUCUUUAUUCUUCCAUAUUGAUCAAUUUUUGUUUCUUUUUCAUUCUUCUUCCCAUUUUGAUUGUUCAAUUUUGUCGUUCCAAAUUGCCGCAAUUUCCAAUUAUCGUGAGAAUUGUCGUUGUUUCUAGAACCGCGUUAGGUAUCGUGACUUAUUUUUUUUAUUUAAGCAGCCAACCUAAUAAAAUCUGUUAACACACAUAGACCUGUCUCACUAUCAGCAAAAGCCUUUAAGUCCAAAUAAAAGAACAAAAACCUCAUCACAUAACCAUUUCAGCAGCAACCAAAAGAAUGGUAGCAAACUCCCACAACAUCAGAGCGGCAACACCUGCUAGCAGCCCUCAAAGUACAAUGAAUGAUUUACUCAAUUGUUAUAAUUAACUACCUCACAAUCAAGAAAAAUCAAAUCAAAAACAAAAAUCAAGUCAUCAUACCUGACGUUGUACUGAAAAUAACGGCAAUUCUCACGAUAUUUGAAAUCAUGAUGAUUCUCACGAAAAUUGAAAAAUGCGGCAGUAGGGAACGACAAAAUUAAACAAUCAAAAUGGUAGGAAUAAAUUUUAUGAAUAUAACUGAUAAAUUUAAGGACAUUCAGAUGAAAGAAAUUUGAUGUGAAAUUUUAAUUGUUCUAAGUCCUGUAGUGUAAAUUAAUUAAGAUUGAACACCUAAAUAUAAUUAAGGCAAUAUUACAUUAUGGGUCCUUUAUCUUAUUUAUUUGUAACACUUUGGUCCUUUGUCUUUAUUUUUUCCCGUUUAGGUCCUUUAUCUCUCUUAAAAGCACAUAUACAUCUUUUUUCGCAUUUUUUUUAUUAAAAAAUACAUAAUUUUAUUUUUAAAAAUAUAUUUUUAUUAAAACUGAAAAAAAUCCAAAAAUAUGAUGAAGAUGUUCAUCAUCUUCAUCUUCUUCCUUUGAAUCUUCAUCAUCUUCUUUAAAUAUAAAAAAAUCUACUAAAAUAUAUCUCCAAAUAUCGUGAAUUAAUGUUAUAUUCACUUCAAAUCUUAUUUUAAACACAAAAAUCAAAACUUUAAUUUCACAAAUGUUGCAAGGCGGAUGGUGGAGGCUUAGUCACUGGCGAAGUGUUAGGCUUUACGAAAGUUAAGAUUGUUUUGAAAACAACAAAAUUGAUGUGCAAAGCUGGGGUUAUUUUUAUGUCGGACUUGAAUAUUGAGUUAGAAAAUAAUAAUAAUAUACAGCGUGAAAAUUUAUAUAACUAAUUUUUUUAUUUUUUUUUUUGUGAUGAAACUAAAUCUCUUUCUCUAUAGGGGUUUGAUUUUUGUGUUUAAAAGAAUAUUUGAGGUGAAUAUAACAUUAAUUCAUGAUAUUUGGAGAUAUAUUUGUGUAUAAUUUUUUUUGAUUCAAUGAAGAUGAUGAAGAUUCAAAGGAAGAAGAUGAAGAUGAUGAACAUCUUCAUCAUAUUUCUGGAUUUGUUUCAUUUUUAAUAAAAAGAUAUUUUAAAAAAUAAAAUUAUAUAUUUUUUUAAUAAAAAAAUGAGAAAAAGGAUGUAUAUGUGCUUUUAUAAGAGAUAAAAGACCUAAGCGGAAAAAAAUAAAGAUAAAAGACUCAAAUGUAACAAAUAAAUAAGAUAAAUGAUCUCCAAUGUAAUCAUGUCUAUAAUUAAAUAAAAAUUAAAAGUAUUAAAAGUUAACUUAUGAUUAUAAUUGAUUCUUUUUUUAGAAAAAAAAUUGACUCAUUUAUGACAUUUAAUGUUACCAAUGUAUAUUACAUUUUGAUUGGUUGAUAUCAUGAGAGGGUAAAAUACUCUCUAAAUAAGAGAGGGUAAUCUAAAAAAAACCUUGUUGAUCACAAACCAUACUCUUGACAUCAUAUGUUGGAUAAGGAAAAAUCUCACUAAUGGUUCUCUUGUACACUCUUACACUCACUUUUGUUAAGAUCAUUGAAGAGGAAGAUUUGAAAAAGAAAGAAAUGUUGAGACUCACUCAUGAAAUGAAAAUCACACACACUUGUGAUUUUUUAUCUACACUAACGUAAAGACGGACACUAACGCAUUCAUCUUUCCAUAUAUUGGUAGUAAACAAAAUAGUAAAAAAUUAAAUGAAUGUCAGAAUAAAGGUUUUUAUAGUGUCAAAUAUUUGUUCUAUUUUGUGGAUUUUUCUCUUAUUGUUGCGGAUUGUUAUGGGAUUUAAUUUACCAACCAAAAGGUUUUUAUCCCCCUUUUGUUACUAAGUUAAAGAAAUGUGACAACAAAUGCAACUUCUUUUGACAAUGGUUAGAUAAAAAAACAAUGAUUGACAUGAAGAAUGUGUUUGAAAGUGUGAAGAACUUAAAUUAUACAAUGUUUGUACGAAUGAAUUAACUAGUAAUAUUACAAAAUUCACUAAAAAACUAUAAGCUGACAUUGUUCAUUAACUUCAUCUUGAAGCAUGUCAUGAAUAAUACCCCCUUCCAACCAACAACAAUUAUCACAGUCCUCGGUCCAUCUUCCAGCACCUCUGUAGAAUUUUUCACGAGAACUGAAAGUAAUUUGUUUAAGUGAAUUCACAUUCCUCAAUAGGUGACUGGCCAAUUCAAUUACAUUUAUGGUGCACAUACAACCUCGUAACUCAACAUAUUUCAAAUAAUUAUGAGAAAACCCUGCAUAUUCUCUUCUUUGUCUCUCAAAUCCAAUCAUAUGUGAAUUUUCCGGAUGUGAAGUUCUUAUCUGAAAAUUCAAAAAUAAAGACCAUAUUAUUACAUGUAUGAGAAUUCCAUCGGGCAUAUAAUGGCAGUCAUUCAUUACUUUAGUCUAAAUAAGAGGUUUUAAGAGGUUUAUUAUUACAUAUGCGACUUUUUUUACUGUAAGAUCUAAGAUGACCAUUUUUUUUACUAUAAUCUAUAAUGGCAUAACUAUAAGGUAUUAUUAUAGAUCUUAUAGUAAAAAAGAGAGCAUGUAAUUUAGAAGAAGCAAAAAAAAAAAUGAAGCGAUGGAGAAGAAUAGGCAGCAAUGGCCAUCCGAGGUGAAGUGGUGGAGAAGAACAGACAACAAUAAUCAUCAACAAGAAGAACAAGGGACAAGAGCAAUACAACGGAGGCAUCAUGGAGGAGUUUUGGAUCUGAUGGUAUGGGAGCGAUUGGUUGUAAUCUCGAAGGAACUAUUCUACAAUUUUGUUUGCAGCAUAGAAAAACCAAUAAGAAAGUUCAGGGUGUUUAAAGUUGUCUAUAUGUUCUGAUUCUGUUGAGAAGGCUUUUGGAUUUUGCGGGUGGCUUUUAAGGGGUUUGAACUAGUGUUGUUGCUUGCCUCUUGACAGUGUGAGUGUUCAAUUCCAGGGUGUGUUCUUAGUAGGAGUUUUAUUUACAUAUGUAUAUUUUUGAUGUUUUUUUCGUUUGAGAUCUUGAGAACUGGUGUACAUGUAGGGUGCAUAUGCUUUGAUGCACUACUUUGACAUUGUAUCAUUGAUUUAUUAAUAAAUUUCUCUACUUAUUGGGAAGGGAGCAAAAUAAGAUUUAAGGCCAGGCCGGCCUACAGGGACCUAUGGCCUGGCCUGUUUAAGCCUGGCCUAGCCUGUUUAUUAAAAAGGUCAGGCUUAGGCUUUUGAAAAAGCCUAUUUAACUAAAUAGGCCAGACUUAGGCUAUCAAAAAAAACAUAUGAAGCCUAAUAGGCCGGCCUGUUUUUCAAAUUAAUAAAACUUAUUUUUUAUUUAUAUUAAACAUAAAAAUAGAGAAACAACUUAAAUAAUAAACUUUUUAAUUAGGCUUUAAGGUCUUAUAGUGAAAUAGGCUUUUAAAACCGACAAGCCUUAUAGUUAAGUAGGCUUUGAGGUCAAUUUAGCCUAUUUAAAAAUAAAUAAAAUUGAGUAUUUAAUGACUUUAAUAUAAAAUAGGCAUGCAAGUAGGCUUUCAGGCCAGUCCAGGCCAAAAAAAUAAGCCUAUGAAAGGCCGUAGGCCAGGCUUAGGCUUGCUAAAAUUUUCGUAGGCCAGGCUCAGGCCUAUCAAAGCCUGGCCUGGCCUAUUCCCAACCAAAAAAAGUUAAAUUACAGUAUUUAUUGUUAUAAAAUGAUCAACCAAAAAAAUGAAGAGUUGAAUAACUCACCGUAAGAGAUAGUUUUUGGAGAUGCUGACAAGCCAUUGCAAUAUCCAAAAUCCAAAAGUAGUCUAUAUUAAAAUUAUAUUGGUCCAUGAUAAAGAGCUGGUCCAAUUCUCCGGGACUUUGAAAUCGAACAUAUGGACCCUCGAUAAAGAGCUCUAAUUGUCUGAGAUUUUGAAAUCGAACCAAGACUGUUGAUAAUUCUGUUAUCUGUUUACACAAAUAAUAAUUCAAGUGGAUUACACGCAGCUAGUAGCUCAAUUAUUAAUUAAAAGAAACUUAGGUAGUCAAUAGUGGCAGAUUGUGCCACAACAAUCCCAAGUGCGUCUCAUAUUAAGGGUGCAGUUGAAACAAUAGACAUUAUGUCCAAUCUUUGUAUACAAAAUAGACCAGACAAUAUAUUUGUUGGGUCAAGUAAUUUAAUGAUUGGAUUCACAAACUUUUAAGUGUGAAAAAGAGGGGAAUUUGGGGUUUUAACCCCUACCUCAACAUAUUAUUGUCCUUGCAGGCUGCAGCUAUAAAUUGAGAUGUAUUUAAUAGACGACUAGACAACAUUUAUAAUAUAAAUAAAGAACAUGAUAAACAAUAAAUAAACAUUAACAAACAUGAGUUUUGACUACUCACCUGUGAAUGGCUAAUGGUCAUAGCUAAAUUCUCAAUAUGUUGUAAACUUGCAAUUGAACCAAAGAGAUGUGAAUUUCUUUCUCUGAUAGCCGCAUUCCAAAAAAUGGUCAAUAACUUUGGAGCCUUAAUAGAGAAUCUUUGUGUGUGACCACUGUAUUCAAAGGAUGAGAGGUUGAUUGCGUCGAUACUUAUGGGAGGAGAAUAUUGUUCUUGAGAGCCACAAUUGAUUAUGUUCAAAUGACGCAACUUUGUACUGAUAACCACCAGUUCACUUAUGAGGUUGUAGUUCUUAAAGGUAACGUCCUCGAGUUGGAGACACCCAGAAAACAGAAGUGGCACUAAUUUACCAGAUAUACAUUCAUGGACACCGUCCAACACAAUUGUUGUCACAUUUUUCAUUCCAGAAAACCCCACACAUUCAUAGAAUUUGCUGCCGGUGAAGCUAAACUUGGAUAACAUAUGAGCCUUGAUGUUCAUUGUGUGUACUUCAGUACUGGUACAAGAAUAUUCAAAGGAUGAGAGAUUUGAUGCAAUGAUAUCGAUAUUCCUCCUCUUCUUGAUUUUAACCCCGCAAUUAACAAUGUUGAAAUUUAACAAUGUUGGGCUGGUUAUUUUUAAGUCAGACUUGAACUUGCAGUCAUCAAGGGUGAAGUCUAGAAGAUGGAUGCAGUUGGAAAGUAGACAUUGAAUCAUAUCCUGUUUCACAGAAACUAGAGACAACACAAGAGUUUUCAAAUUCUUCAAACCACAGAAGUUGUCCAUAGAUAUUAAUAGGAUGCACCUCUUUAAGUGCAGAUACGUUAGAGAAUCAGCCUCAGAUAAGAGAUCGAAGGGUAAUAAUAUGUAUGGGCGCAUAUAAUCAGAAUCAGCAUCAUCAUCAUCUUGAUAUGAUAAGAUCAAUUCAAGACGUUUGACACCCUUAGCAAUUCCUUUGGAAAUCAUCCUUUCAAUGACACCUGUGUGUUUGGUACCUAAUGGAAACACGAGUCGGAUUGAAUGGAUCAUGUCACCUUGAUAAUGCAGCAUGAAUUGAUCCACUCUUGCGGCAAAUUCAGAUUCGACCCAUUCAAAGAGUGUGAUGUCUUUUGGAAAUUUAUCAUAGUCAAACAAAGUAUUGAUAUCAAAGUUGAGGUCCACCCUGAAUCCCCAUUCGUGAAGCCAUAGUUUGGACAAUGUGAUUGUUUUCACCAAAUCCUUCAAACCUAACUUUGAAAAGAUAUAUGAUAUAACACAAUCAGGCAACACAGGGAACUCAGUCUUGUGUUUUUUACUCCUCUCCAUCUCCAUUGUUGCCGCAAGCACACCAGAAAUUGAAUUAAUAGCCUAAACAAUGAAAUAAAAAUUUGAUUUGAGUUCAGUAAUUUCGACAGUGAUGAUACAGAAGACACACAAACACAGAAGCAAUUACAAACACAAUCCAAGUCAAUAAUUCAAAAAGAAAUACAACAAUAAAUUAACAUAAGUGUAUUUCAAAAGAAAAAGUAAAGAAAACUUAAUUUAAUCAUAUAAUCGCAUGUUCAUGUCUAUUACAAAACCCACAAAGAAUUCAUAACAAGCUAAUAAAACCACCGAUUCAUCAAAAGAAAAAGAUUAUCACACCAUUUGUUUUUAGAAUUGCGAUUAAACAUGCACAUAGGUUCAAGCCAAAACAUCUAAUUAUUAUGUGAUCACACAUAUAAACCUAAAUUGCACGAAUGAAUCGAUGAUAAGAAUAGAAACGAAAAAGAAGCGUUGACUGGAUGUUGGUUACCUUGUGAAGGAGAAAGCUGCGGUGCUGAAACCUAGUCGCAAGGAAGAGAUCAAGAGAAUGAAUGAGAGUUGAGAGGAAUGAUUUGUAGGGCUUAUAAACAAGGGUUUAGAUGGGCCUACAUCGGACAGCGUGAUUGAUUCUGGAUCGAUUGAUAUUUGGGCAGGAUAUUAGAUUUUAACAAAAAAUACUACAUGAAAAAAUCAUUUAAGAUUGUGUGCAAAAAUAAACGUUUAAUACAUGAUUUGAUCCUUAACUUAUUUUUGGAUUUUAAUUUGGUCCCUUAACUUUAAUCUGUCUCAAUUUGGUCCCCUAAGUAUACCUCUGUUUACCCAACUGGUCCUUUCUGUUAAUUUUUAUCAAAAAACGUUAACUUUUCAAAAACUAUGUUAAGGAACCAAUUGGGUAAACAGAGGUACACUUAGGAGACCAAAUUGAGACAGUUUAAAGUUAGGGGACCAAAUUGAAAUCCAAAAAUAAGUUAAGGGACCAAAGCAUGUAUUAAGCCUAUAUGAUGUUAAAUGGUGGAUGGAUAAAGUUGAUUGUGUAGGAAGUGAGCUUAGGUUGAUUAAUAUAUUGAUAGGAGUAUUUUGCUUGACUGAGUUGUUUAAAAUGUUAUUGUAUUGUGCCAAGUCCAUGUAAUGUUGUAAUGUUGUAAUGAAAAGAGGUUGUCAAUGAAUGAAUCAAACAUUUCUGUCAAAAAAAUUCAUUCGCAUUGGUCCUUGAAUUAUAUACAUAUCCAUCAUUUCGAUCCUCAAAUUAGUGAAAAUACCAUCAAAUAGGUCCUUGAAUUUUCACAACAGAUAUCACUGUGAUCCUUGGUGCAUACAUUUGCUGAACAAAGUAAAAAGUAAAAGACAGACACUUUGAUUAUAAAAAGACACACAUUUGCAUACCAUCAAGUCAUAUAUUUGAUGUUCAUAAGUCACUAAAUAGCAAAAAAUAAAAUAACAUUACAUAGCCAUCAAUUCAUCAAAUCAUUUGAUGUUCUUAAGUGAUUACAUAUCCAAAAAAUCAUAAACUAAACAAGUCCAAAAAACAUUAAUUAAACUAGUCAAAAAGCAUAAUUUAAACAAGUAUCAAUGCUUUGGAAAUCCUGAAGUUGGGAUAAACUCCAUGUAUUCGCAUUGAGUAGAAGCGGAUUUUGGAUUUGGAACUCUAAUAACUCCAGGAGCAGUUGGAUUUUGUGGAGCAGGACCCCUCAGUGGUGUUUGUUUAUGCAUGUCAUUUGAAAUCACUGAUCCUCUCAUGCAAUAUCUCCUGUACUCAUUCUCUGCAAAUAAAAUCAAUCAUAUCAGCCCUUAAAUUAUAACAAAAUCCAUCAAAUUAGUCCUCAAAUUAUGCCAAUAAGUCUCAAAUCGAUCCAUAUUUUAGAGGGGUAUAAUUGGAAACACAGGAAAAUUUAUACUUAAAAGUUAAGUCUCGAAUUUGUACUAUUUCCAUCAAUUUAGUCCUUGUACACGUGGCUACCUUGUUGACACGUGUACAAGACAACACAGCAUGCAAGGGACACGUCAUCACCACUAACAGAGUUUUUGGACGGAGGGAACAUUUUGAUGAACGUCUGUAAAAUUCAGGGACUAAAUAGAUAUUUCGCAAAAUUCAGGGACGAAUUUGGCCGAUUUUUUAAAAUUCAAGGACGAAUUUGAGGUAUUAGUCGUUAACUUUUAUUGGCAUAGUUGUAUAAUCGUCAACAUUUGUUCGAUAAAAUAGAUUUGAUCUUCCCUGUCCAAUGGUGUAAUGGAAAUGGAAAUUUAAUUUUAAGUGGUUGGUGAAUUUUAUACCUCUAUCCUACCUUUGCUAUUAAACCCAAUAAAAAAACAUAAAACAUCAAUAAUCUUCAUUCAAUUUCAUCAUGGUAUGUCCGAUUUUUAUUUAGGCUGAUUAUCAUCACCAAUUCAGUUAACUUUAAGCAAGCAUCUUCCGCAUAUUUGUGUUGAAUUGAAAAAGGAUGCAAAUGAGAAAGAAAUAGUGGUGGGAUUGUGUGUGGAAAAGGAAUAAAUGUUCUCAUAUUUUUCUUAAACAAUCUUGACCAUUGAUUCAAUCAAAUGGUGUUAUUGUGGUGCUUCACCUGUGAGGGAAUUAAUUGAACCCUCACCCUAGAAUCCAUCAUUUUUUAAAUUUAUUUCCUACAACAGUUUAUUUUUUUGAGAGGUUCAAAUUUAUUUUCCAGUUAUAUUUUUUUUUAUUAAAAAAUUGUAUUUUUAGUCCUCCCAUUUAUUGCUAGUAAAAGUAAAAUAAAAACUAAUUUCUUUUGGUGCUAGAGAAAAAACAAAGAAAGAACUACAACAAAACAAUUGGAUUAAAGGACCUUGUCCUUCCAAAUCAAUAAAAAAUGUAAACAAAGAACCUUCAUUUUUCUUUUAUUUAAUCACCACUCUAAUUUCUUUUUUAAAGCAAGCAAGUUUAAGCACAAAAAGUUAAAUGAAAUCAAGAGGUUCUCGUAGAGUACUACGAACAUAAAGGGUGCUAAUACCUUCUCUUUAUGUAACCAACCCCCGAACCCUAAAUCUUUUAAAACGUGGUAUUUGAACUUUUUUCCCCUUUUUUUAAAAAAUUAAAAGUUCAGUCGUGAAAUAAAAUUAGUGAGUCUAUGCUAAUAAAAUAGCUUGACCUCCGAAAAAUGACGCGACACAGCCCUUUUGAUAGUAGAUGAAUAAAUAAAGGUCAAAUACUAUGACAUCUUGUUGUAGAACUUUUUCUUAAUGACACAAUUGCUCAAGUUAGAUAUUUAUAUAUGUAUUUUAGUUUUCAUUUGACUAUCUUUAAAUAUAUAUAUAUAUAUAUAUAUAUAUAUAUAUAUAUAUGUAACAGUGUAAUGUCCUAUAUUUUUUACAUUAGCGGUGUCGACAUGUCCGUGUCAGGUGUCUAUGUCGGAGUCCAUCCUUCAUAUGACUGAAUUCACAACUUUAUUCUAAUAUUUUUAUGCACGUUUUUGUUGCCCAUGUUUGGAUUGAUGGCAAGAUGGUCAGGAUUAUGGCAAAAACAAAACAAAACUUUAGAGUAUUACCACCAUAAUUUUAUCAAACUCAUCGUUCAUCCAAACAUACACUCAAAUAAAUUGUAUACAAUGUUCUUUGAUUUCUUUACUUGUUAUUGACUUAAAUCUAAUUAUAGACUUAAACUCUAGAGUUUUUUUUUUUUUUUUUUGAGCAAUUAAACUCUAGAGUAUUAGCGCUUGAUUUCUUUACCCCACAUAUUAUUAUUUUUCAUGCUUUUGUUAAAUAUUUCCCUUUCACAUUUAUAUCUUCAUGCCUUUCUCAAGAUAAAUCAAUACCAUGCAAUAUUACUAUAUGGUGACAAUUAGGGUAUCCAUAUAAAAAUGGUGGGUAAUAUUUACCUCAACCAAUAAACAUUCACAUUUUGAAGUGAUAUCUAUGAACUAUCUUGACCUCACCAAUAAAUUGCUUAUUUUCAUUGGUUGAUCGGUAAAUUUCCCACCAUUUUUCAAAGGUAAUCUAGAAAAAACCUUACUAUAUUAGACCUAAAAAAGUAUAUAUACUAUCAGGCCGAACCGGUUCCCCAAGGCCCAACGCGCGCCUCUGUUGCUUUUCAGAGGCCCAACUCAAUUUUAAUUUCUGCACCUCCCAUGGUACUGUCUGUACCCCCCACCUUGUGAUUGAACCCAAUUUUUAUUUCUUUCAAGUGUUGCAUACAUUUUAUUUAUCUCACAAUGUCUGGAAUCAAAAGGACGACAACGAUUCUCAAGAUAAUUGGAAACGAUGACAAUUCUCGAACGAGAGAAUUGAACAAUCAAGAUGGGAAAAAGAAUGAAAAAGAAAUUGCACGUUAUGUGUGUUCUAAGUUUUGGAAUGAAACAAAAUUUAUGAACGUAUGUGGGGUGUGUUUCGUAAAAAUAAGCUAUAAGCUAGUUGAAAAACAAGCUUAUAGCUGAUGUUUUAUAACUGAUAGUUUAUAGCUGAAAAGAUGGUUUAUUAAAAUUGAAGUGUUUGGUAAAAUUAGAUGUUGAAGUGACUGAUAAGUAUAAAAUGAAAUAAAUUAUAUGUAUUUAUUUUUUAAUAUUUUAAUUUAUGGUUAACUAUGUUAUGGAUCCUUGUAAAUAUUUAAACUUUUGGUUUUAGUCUCCAAUAAAAUUUCACCGACAAUUUUGAUCUUUGUUUUUCUUUUUGUACAAAAGAGGGGAAAAAGCUUAUCUACUUUUAUGAAUCCCAAAAAUAAGAGGAAGGUGGAAAAAAAUGCAAGCAAGAAUAUAUAAAAUUUUACAACGUACCGUAGGCUAGUUAUAGUUAAAUAUAAAACAUUUUAUUUUAAGAAAUAUAUAUAAAGCGUUCAUUAAAAAAUAAAAUAAAACAUGACAGUUUUUUUUUUUCAAAGGAGAAAAUGUUGCACUUGUUUUAUUAAAAAAUAAGCUAUGAACUUGACCGUUAUUUUUUAAGCCAUGAACAUGUUGUUUUAUUAAAAAAUAAUUAAAUUAAAUUAAUAGGGUUAAAACUGGAAGAAAAUAUAUAAAACUAUCAGCUAUAAGUUCAAAAGCUACUUGAAAUAGCUUCUCAAAAAACGCUAUAAGCUAGUGAAAGAAGUUUUUUUACCAAACACACCUUAUCAUAUCAAAACAAGGUUAUAAGAUAGUCCAAUAAGCUAUAAACUAGAUUAUUCGUGUUACCAAACACAACCAUGAUGAGUUGAAUUUGAUGUGAAAUUUUAAUUGUUACAAGCCAUAGUGUAAAUUAAUUAAGAUUGCAUACCUAAAUAUAAUUAAAUAAAAAUUAAAAGUUACCUUAUUAAAAUUUCUUUUUUUUUUUUAUAGAAAAAUUGACUCAUUUAUUUGACAUUUAAUGUUACAUUUUGAUUGGUUGAUAUCUUAAAAGGAUAAAUAUCCUCUAAACAAGAUAGGAUAAUCUAGAGCUCACCACAUAGAGAAGGUUGAUAAACUAGUUACAAACCAAAGGGCUAAUUGUUAGGAUCAUCAUUGGAUCAAAAUCCUAUGAACCUUCGUGACGAGGAAUUCCUCUCAUGCCUGCUCAUGUUCUGGUGCAGGUUUGUUCCAUUUUUGUGACUUGUUUGUUGGUAUUUUUUUAUUUGAAAUUCCAGAACAAACGAGUUGAUCUUAUUUGAGUUCCUGCUCUUUUUGAUCUUGCUUCUAUGAGAGAUGCUAUGAAGAAUCUUGGUGGUGAUCCUAGCAUUGAAGUAAUAAAAACGAUGAAAAGAGAAGGAAAAAAAAUGAGGGAAAAAAGAGCAGAGUGAAAUAGAAAAAGUAGGGGUAAAGUUGUCAUUUUAUUAUUAAUGUAUUCCAUUGGAUACGGGUUAGGAUCCUCUUCAUUUAUGUGUUUCUCUAUUUCUUUAAUUUGGAGAGAUAAAGACACAUAAAAUUUUGAAAAAAGUAAAAUAUAAUUAAUGAUGGUGGAAACCACUUAGUGGUAGGACCCAUCAUCUAUUUUUUGUGUCUAUCUCUCUCCAACUUGCAAAACUCCAAUUAUUUUGCCAAAUGGAGAGGAUGUUCACCCAUUGGAUACACUCCAAAUUGAGGAGAAUGAAAAAUUGAGUGAAUGGAUGGUAUUGGAUGCAAUGGGUUCCAUCACAUUCCAUUUCAUUCAUUUUUUACAAAACCAAAUAAAGGAAUCAAGUUAUAUCUCACUCCAUUUCAUUCCAUUCCACCACUCUCCAUCAAUCCAAGCAUAGCCCAAAUUCGUCGAGAUCUCUCUCUCUCUCUCUCUCAUUCAAUCGCUGAAUCGUCAUCCUCAGACAUGGCUACGACGUUCGACAGCUCAGCCGGUGGCAUGUUGGCGAUGCUUAACGAGUCCCAUAUCUCCCUCAAGCAUCAUGCUCUCUCCAGGUAGUGUUAUUAUGAACUGUCACAUGUUCUAUUGAUAACCGAGCGAUGCUGUUUUUGCAUAUAUGGAGUCUCUUUCUUCAUGUGGCUAAGCUGUUAUGAUGUGUUUUACAUGAUAUUUGAGAUAGCAAAUAAAUAUUUUCGGCCUUCAUCCUUUUUGAUUGUACCUGGCUUCUAAACCAAUCACCAGAGGCCUUAAGUUUUUUUAUAUCCAUAUAUUAUUAUUCUUAGAUGCUGGAUUUCGUCUCAUGGUCUGUGUUUCUAGUAUCUAAUUUUUUUUUUUCGCUCCUUUAUCUUAGGUCUUUAAUUACUUGGGCGAGCUGAAUGACUCACUAUCCUAUGCCCUUGGAGCUGGUCCUCUGUUUGAUGUUUCACAGGAUUCUGACCAUGUCCAUACUCUUCUAGGUGAGAAUUGUUAUUUGGUUUUAUUCUAUUUAAUUUAAAGCUGUAUGCAGAUCUUUCAAGAAUACUAUGAUCUCUAUGAAAUGGACUGCAUUGAUAAUAUUGGUUCAGUUGGUGUUACUUGUUAGCGGUUUUACUCAUUUUGGUAUAAUGAAAUCAUAUGUUCUAUUCCACGACAAUUUAUAAAAUCUUAUGUUUUCAGCUAAGGCUAUAGAUGAAUAUGCUAUUUUCAAGUCUAAGGCUGAUGAUUCUAUAAAAGUGGACCCAAGAAUGGAAGUGAUUGUAGAGAGAUUGUUGAAUAAGUAUGUAUAAACUACAAUUAUUCUUAUGUUUUUUGUAUCCUUAACUUUGAGUUCCCUCAAUUCUCAAUUUUCGUUGCUUUUCCUCAAUUCAGGUGUAUUGUGGAUGGAAAAUACCAACAAGCUAUGGGAACUGCCAUUGAAUGCAGGAGAUUGGAUAAACUCGAGGAAGCAAUUACAAGAAGUGACAAUGUUCAAGGAACUCUAUCAUACUGCAUUCACGUCUCUCAUUCCUUUGUGAAACUUAGAGAAUACAGACAGGAGGUAAGGGAAAUGAGAUCUUAAUAGUUAUAUUGAAGUCUAUACGCUGAAUAUAUCCGGAAAAUCUUCCCUUCCUUUUUCAUCCCUUUAAUUUUAGUUAUUGAGCUAUAUUCCAUUGAAUUUUUAUGAUUUUAAUCAUCUUUUAAACAUCUCUUUUGGUGUUUACCGUUAAUAGUUAAUAGGACACAAAUCUUUAGCAACUGUUCUCAAAUGAGACAAAUGUUUGUGCUGGAAAUAUUUAUGAAGAAUUUUUAACAGCGGUGGUCUUGACGAAAGUUGAUAUUGCUUGUUUUUUUUUUUUUUUUGGUUCAGGUUCUCCGUCUCCUUGUUAAAGUAUUUCAAAAGCUUCCAUCACCAGAUUAUCUGAGCAUUUGUCAGUGUCUUAUGUUCUUGGAUGAGCUAGAGGGGGUUGCGAGCAUAUUGGAAAAACUUUUACGUUGUGAAAACAAAGAUGAUGCUCUUUUGGCACUUCAAAUAGCUUUUGAUUUGGUCGAAAAUGAGCACCAAGCUUUUCUUCUAAAUGUUCAUUGCCAAAGUCUCAACCUUUAGAGCCCGUAGAGCCAGAACCCAGUGAUGCAGAUUCUACUCAGAAUGCUGGUGUUCAUUGCCAAAGUCUUUACUGGAGCCUUUGACUUCGGAUGUCGUUGAUUUUGUUCGUCAGGGUGUGCCCUUAUAGCAAUGGCUAUGCUCAUGGUUCAGAUUAGUGAAGCUAGUGAUUCACGUGUUGGAACCUUCAGGUAAGGAAAGUAUAUUAUUUGGAUAUUGAAGCAAUAAAUCUGUUAAUUUCUGACAUGCCGUGUAUUCCAGGCUGACAAUUGGAGAAAAUUAUACUUGACAAGCAUGAGGAUACCAUGAGCAAGAUGGGUGCAAUUUUGGCCUCUGGAAUCCUUGAUGCUGGCUGGCUGAAGAAAUGUGACCAUAAGACUACUUUCUAAGACUAAGCAUGAUAAAAUUGCUGCAGUGGUUGGUCUUGCAGUUUUCAACCAAUUUUGGUAUUGGAACCCCCUUAUCUAUUUCAUAAGCUUGGCUUUUUCACCAACGGCUUUAAUCGGUCUGAACUAUGAUCUGAAAUCUCCAAAGUUUGAAUUCUUGUCUCAUGCAAAGCCUUCACUUUUUGAAUACCCCAAGCCUACCACUGUUCCCACUAAGCCAUAAAACAUGUCGGUGAAAGCAAAUUCAAUCAUUUAAGCAAAAAACCAUAAAACAUUGAAGGCUUAAUUGAUCUGCCGAUCCCUUAACUUAUUUCUUUUAUUCAAUUUGGUCACAUAAGUCUUAACUUUCUCAAAUACGUCCCUUAAUUUAUUUCUUUUAUUCAAUUUAAUCCAAUUUUAAUAAUUUUAAUCCCCUAGAAAAAAAGACCAUUGGAUUACGGAGGUCUAUGAGAUUUUACGGUGUAUCAGCAACACCUAAUUUAUUUACUUUCUUUUUCUUCUUCCCCAUCUUCAUCUACUACAUUCAUCAUUCAUCAAUAAAAUCCAGGAAAAAAAAAUUUUAAACCUACUAUUUAAUCAUUCAUACAAUAUACCAAAACAAAAAUCCAGAAAAAAAAAAAAAUCAACAUGUAACCAACAAAUAAAAACAAGAUUCAACAACAAUUCAUCUCUUCAACAACUUAAUACUCCUAAAUCUUAAAAAUAAAAAAAAAAUUAAUACUGUUAAUGAUGUUAUCAGAUCUAGUUUUUUUGUUUCGUUGAUUUCGAUUUUGAUUGGAUUUGUUCGUUGUUUUUAUUUUGUUUUUGCGAUUAGGUUGUUGAAGGUUGUGAGUUUUGAAUUUGGGUUGAAGGUUUUGAAGGAUGAAUGAAGAUGAUGGAAGAAGAAGAAGAAAGUAAUUAAAUUAGGUGUUGGUGAUACGCUAUAAAAUCUUAUAGAUCUCCAUAAUCCAACGAUCUCUUUUUUUAGAGGAUUAAAAUUAUCAAAAUUGGACCAAAUUGAAUAAAAGAAAUAAGUUAAGGGACAUGUUUGACAAAGUUAAGACUUAUGAGACCGAAUUGAAUAAAAGAAAUAAGUUAAGGGACCGACAGAUCAAUUAAGCCAACAUUGAAAGUAUUGAAGCUGGAUUCACCUCAUAAAUUGACUUAUGCUGGAGCAAUGGAUGCAUAAAUAAGCCAUAAAACAUAACGAACACAGUGACAUCAAUAAAAUUCAAUCAUUUAAGCAUAAACCAUCAGGAAGAGACAAUAGUCACAAAUAUCCAAUUACAAAACCUUGAAAUUCAAUAGCACAUGUCAUAUGAAAAAAAAAAUUGAGUACAAAAUUCAAGACUAAUAUCUUUAUUAGACAGUCACAAUAAAAAAUAAUAAUUGUCACAUUUAAACCUCAAACAAUAGAAUCAGAUAAAGAAUCGUGCACAAAAAUAAUACUUAAUACGAUUAAAAACUCCAAAAAAAAAUAAAAAUCAUAAAACCUACAGUGCUCAAAUUACAGUCUUCAAUGUAAGAGAUAAUAGCAAGCUAGAUGAUAAUUCUAUUCAAAAACUUACCUGGUCAUAAUCAAAACCACCACCUAGAUCUUAGAUUCUUCAACCUGCAAUGGAAAAAAAAAAGUCACGAUAGUCUUCGGCUAGCUAAAAUACAUUGCUAUCAAACAUACAUAGUUACCACUUUUACUAAUGAGUUUAACAAAUGAUAAAGUGGACUUAUUGCAGAAAACUACAAAACGAAAUUGAAGAAACUCCAAAAUGAUUUUUUUUGGGGGAAAUCAGAAUUGUUACCACUCAUAUAUUAGUGAAACAUGACUUACAGUUUCAAAACAAAAGAGAAGGUAAAUGCCAAAACAAUUUAAAUAGAAUUAGAAUAAAAUAAAAAGAGAAGGUAAAUGACAACUAUUACCUUUCCUCCUUACUUGAAUGUUGUAUGUGAAGAAAAAUCAAGCCUAUCUUGAUUGCUGCAUUCUCUUCUCUGUCUUUAACAACAUAAGUGCAUGAUGGUAGCAGCUUCAACCACAUCGCUCCGACAUGAGCCUGCAACAUGUGAAAACAAAUAAAAGAAAAGGAAAAUACAACAAACGGUGGCAUUCAGUGGGAUUUGAUAGUGUGAAACACAUGUCUCGUUGAAGCAAAUCGUUCAUGAAGUCAAAGACAGAAACAGAAUCGGUGAAGUCAAUUUCAAUCCCAAAUCCAAUUAUAUUUGUUGUCACCCUAAUCUCGUCAGAGACCAUAGCUACAACCUCGGCGGAAAAAAGAUGCGUAUUAGUCCAACUAAAGUUCAUAUGUUAUAAGCCUGGUUUAUAAUGAGAAAAAAAAAAAAAUCAUCUGAAACUUAAAAUUAAACCAAUACAUCUAAAAUUGAAAACAAUAUAAAUCCAUAAACUAAGAGAACUUCAAAGUGAUAGCUAAUAGAAGCCUCAAUUUUCAAAUGUAGUGAUUUUUUUUUCCUGAGUUUAUAGCCAAAAAAACACGUUAAAUAUAAUGCAGAAAGAAGUACAGUUACAAAAUACAGCCAAAUUUGAAAUACAUAACUUAAAAUAAAUUGUUUGAAUCAUAGUUAACGUGUAAAAACUUAAACCAAUGGCAAUAAAUUGAACCAUCAAGUUAAAAUACAACCGAAUUUACUGUUUCAUAAUCAAGUGCAGUUAUAAGUUGAAACAUCAAUUUAUUUUAGACUAUAUAAAAAUCUGAAAUCAGAAACUCAAAUAUUACCUACCAUAACAACAUAUACCUUGUUUGGUUGAAGAACAACAGCCUUAGCUCACCUCAAAACGGACCCAAAGCGGCAACAAAAAUUACAGCCGUAUCACACCUCAGAACACCAAAGUUGAAGCACUCUGAUGCUAACUUGCAGACCGUGAUAAAAAAAACUCAAAUUCUAUUUGAAUUAACCUCAAAGUGUAAAACAACAUAAUGAGAACUUAUACUUAAAGUAUAACUACUAUAAAAAUAAAAACAUAUCAAACUUUGGUGAGAACUUAUACUUAAAGUAUAACUACUAUAAUGAGAACUUAUACUCAAAGUAUAACUACUAUAACCAUAAAAACAUAUCAAACUCAAGCCACAUCCAAUCAAAAAGUCAAAAUACAUUUAGAAAUUACUCAAUCGCUUUCACUUACUCCAACAUUCACCAGUAGACGUUUUUAAGUAGGAUAAGGCAUAACAUAUAAGAUAAUAUUCAGAUUAUGAUUUAAGCAAAAUAUAAGCUCUUGAAAAAUGUAGUGCCUCUAAUGGAAAUUUUAAUUUUUGUUCACAAUAAAUCAAUAUUAAAAUACAUUCUCAAAUUUAUUACCAUAAUUUGUUCCCACAAUCAAAAGUAGAUCAUAUUUGUCUCAAGUCGCAAGAUCAUCCAUCUAUGAUAGAUUACUUACAACCCUGCAUGUUAUUUCACACACAGAUCAGAAUCAAAAAACAUCACACAAACAACUACACACAAUGAACGUUGGACAUCUCAUGUGCAAAUACUCAAUUAGUCAUCACCUUAAAGCAUUCACAAAUGCCAUCAAUGAAUCAACGUCUCUCUUUUCUGAAGGAUACUUAAUCGGCCAGGAACAGUGUUUGGGGAAAGAAGAGUAUUGUGGGGUAGCUUCCCAACCUAGUUCACUCUUUGCACAUUCUUUUCCAUCACCGUCCGCUCUAAAUUUUCCAACCUUCACUCCUGACCCUGCUAAGUUCUCUGCCAAAUCCACACAUAUGAUUCGUCCAUAGCCUGUAAGAAUUUAGAUUAAACAUGUUAUUAAUUGAAAUUUCAAGUCAAAUGAAGUAAUGCAGCUUUUAUAAGAGAAUGGUAACAUAAUAUUGAAAGUUCAGGCAUAUUUGCUUAUAAUAGUGACCACAAGAGUACAUUGAAAAUAACAUUGAUGCACUUUAUUCAUUCACUGUAAAUUAUUCCCUACUUUGUAAACUAUUCCAAAGAGUUACAAAAUGCUAAUCCCACAUCAUAAACCCAAAUUAUACUAUUCUCUAUACAUUAUUCCCUACUUUGUAAACUAUUCCAAAGAGUUACAAAAUGCUAAUCCCACAUCAUAAACCCAAAUUAUACUAUUCUCUAUACAUCAAUCUACAAUCUCUUAAUCGAUUAUGUAUUUUACUCAGACCCAAAAGCAAUUCUAUACAACAAAAUCAAUCAAAAAGCCUACUAAGAAUAAUCAAAUCAACCUGAAACCACUCGCAUGAUCAAGCAAACCCAACAAAACCAUAAACAAAUUUUACACAACAAAAUCAUUCAGAAGCACACUUAGAAUAAAAUAAUCAACCUGAAUCAUUCAGAAGCACACUUAGAAUAAAAUAAUCAACCUGAAAGCAAUAGCAAUAUCAUUGCCAAAUUUCUCAAGCGCCCUGUCCAUUAUUUCAAGAGGUGAAGCAUUUUCAAAGUUUUUCGCUAAUUGUUCAAAAUCCUCCUCUUCCUUCUCAAUAAGCUCGGCAAAUCAAAUAGUAAUAUAUAAUAAGCUUUAAUUAACUUCAUUUAAUCAAAUAGUUUUUUCAUUUGUAUACACCAACAAAGAAACAAAUUUGACCAAAAAUCUACUCAUUCAUCCACUCAUAAAAGGUAUGAGACCAUGAAAUCCAUUCAUCACCUUCUUUUCUUUUUACUCCAUUUAUCAUACACAAAACCAAACCAAUUUGGACACACAAUAUGACACUAAAAACCAAAGUGAUAAGAUUAACCAACCAUCUAUAAAAAUAUUCUUUCUUUAUCAUAAAAGUAUCUAAUAAGCAUUCUUUUUUCAUUUUCACUCCCAAGUUGUAAGUAACUUUUGGUCCUAUAUAUUAUCAUUCAUAUAUUUUAUUUACAAAAUCACAUACAGUGGCUGGCCAUAAAAUACAAAAACCAACCAAUAUAAAAAAUAAAAAUAAAAACUUAAAAAGAGCUUAUAUAACUUUAUGAGAUAUAUGAAGAGUACUUAGCAAUAUUAUCAUGCUUAAUCUAUGUUUAAAUUGUGGUAGAACACAAAGCACCCUGUUUUGAAUUCAGAGGAGGCACAUUCAGAGUGGGUCCAAUUCCAAAAGCCACUAUAGAAUCACAAUUAACAUUAAACAUGUAACGAUCAGAAAUCAAGUACCAAUUUUUCAACGAAGUUUUCCAUUGGCUUUAAGACUCAAACACAAUCUUCCAGAUACUUGAUCACGACUCAAUUCACAACAAAUGGAAGGAACAACAGGUAAACCAUAAGAUUGGGAAUGGAUAGGUUUAAUACCAAAAUCAAAACAGACGCACAAAAUCACUAAAAUCAAUCACAAAUAUCAAAAUCACAACAAAUACUGAGAUGAUUAGCACAAAUCUUAAGGGUUUUCGAUUGCCUCAUAAGAAGCUUCACUUUACCAGUAAACUUAUGCUUCAAGAACGUCACUAUACCAGCACCUAUCUCCUUCUACCGAUUUCCAUCUUAAUUGAAACAUUACAACUUCGAUUUCCUGUGAUCAAUGAAAAGCGAUAAAAAAAUGUAAAAUAAAACCCUAAAAUCAAAGGUGAAAUAGGAAAAGUAAAGUACAUAUAUUACAGUAAAACUUUGAUUACCAUUACAUCAGCUACUCUAAUAAUUUGAAAUCUUCAUGUAAUGAAAGACCCAUAUGAGAAUACUGUGAAAUCCAACAAUGAAGCUAUUAGAAGCCAUUGAAAUAGAACAGUGAAAGAUGGAUUCAGAGAGAGAGAGACCAGUGAAGAAGAAAGAGUUACCUGCGACUGUCGAAGUGAUGACCUGCGAUUGAGAAUCAGCAAGGGUGGCGGUGAGGAGGACGAUGGUGAUGGUGGGUUACGGUGGUGAGGUGGUGGUGGCCGGCGAUGGUGAUGCGAGUAGAGGGAGGGAGGGAGAGAUGGAGUUUGGGUUAUGAGAAGAGAAAGAAGUUUUGAUUUGGGAGACAUGGUCACAUGGAGUAUCAUAGUUGCUUGCAAUUGCAAACCCUCUAAAUCUGAUUGGCUAAUUGCAUGGUACAGUAUCGUAGUUGUGCUUGUCUCUAAUUGGUUGGUUGUUUGGUGGAUUGGAGGAUCACAUGAACUGGAUUACAUGUCCAGAAAAAGCAGUAUCAUAAAAUAAAAAAAUAGCAAAAUAACAUCCUCAAUCCGUCCAAAAGUUUUGCUCAACUUGAUAAAUAGGUUCAGUUGCACCAGUACUGGUUGGUGAACACAAUUUUGUACGAAGGACCAACAUUCGAGGAGCCAUAGGAUAUAUGAUCUUAUUGUUACCAGCAUCUGUCACACCAAGACUAAUUGUUGCACCUUCAACGAACCUACGUGAAUUGCAAAGUUGUAGCCACUGACCAAAAAGAGUGCACGACAUAACCUUUACGCGACUGAAUUUGAAAUCACAUUUUCAACUACAACCCAAGUAAUCCACGACAGUUAAUUCUGCUUCGUCAGCAGGCAAUGCAGUCUGACAAAAACCAAACCAAGACAGCUUCUGCAAGACAUCUUCCACAAAACCAAUUAAAUAUAUAUCUUACCAAAUUGCCAAAAACAACAUCAGAGGUUGUCAACUCCUUAACAAUUGUGUGGUAAAACAUUGUGGGAAGAAAGAGAGUGGAAGCACCAUUUGGAAUGAUGGAGCAGUCGGAAGAACUUCAAAAGGCAUAUCAACUAUUUCCACCAAAUUAUACAUGACUCAUCAUUUUCUUCAAUAAAAAUAGACAACAACUUACUAAAAAAAUAGACAACAAUUAACCAUAAUCCCAAAGAAAGAAUUGCAAAAACAGUAACUAAUUCUCUUUAUAAGUAAUUGUUUUUCUAGAAUCAAAUCUGCUAAUAUUAUUUAUCAUAUUCAUUGUGCAGCAAAGCAUUCAUACUUGUGCAUUUGCUAUAAACAUAUCAUCCACUUAAAUCUUAGUAAUAAACAAUAGAAUAGAAGAAGAAGAAUAAAGCAUCUACUUACUUACAAUAGUGACAGAAUUAACACAAUCUUUUUCUUUUUUAUUAAGGCUUAAUUGCAUUUUUGGACCCCUAUCUUUUCAAAAGUUGCGGUUAUGGACCCCUAACUAAUUUAAAUACAAAACAGCCCCCUAUGUUUUGAUUGUUUGGAAGUUUUGGACCCCCAAUUUAUUGUUGGCUCGGUCAACGCUGACGUGGCACCCUAAGCUAGGUGCCACGUGUCAAAUUUUUUAUUUUUUAUUUUUGCCUUGGGGGUCCAAAACUGCAAAAGAAUCAAAACAUAGGGGGCUGUUUUGUAUUUAAAUUAGUUAGGGGUCCAUAACCGCAACUUUUGGAAAGAUAGGGGUCCAAAAGUGCAAUUAAGCCUUUUAUUAACUUAUACUACCACCUGAACUAUGUUUUUUUUUUUUUGCAAGCUACAUCUCUUAUGGGGCUAAAACAUCAAGCAUGAUCCUCUUGUCUUGUUAGUUUCAAGUAUUGACUUUGCUAGAAUAUUUAACAGGUCUGAUGUAAGCAAAUAAUUUAAGGUUCAAUCUUAAAUAUAAUGAAAAUAGUUAUAAUGACUCAAUCUUACAAUGUUCCUAUUGAUCGCAGAGCUGAAAAAUGACGGAUUAGAGUUUUUUUUGCUGAGAAAUUGCAGAUUAAAGUUAAGUUGAAGAUCGUUAUCUUCGACUUUGUUAUCUAAAAUAUGUCCUUUUCAUAGCAAGUUCGUGAAACAUUGGCAAUGUCAUCUUAUAAUAUGUUCCUCGAGACAGACUAUACUUCAAUUCAAUUUCUUCAUAUUUAUAUCUAAUAAGCAUAAGCAUUUGGUUACAGUUUUAUUUUACUUUGUAUAACCUGAGUUUUGAAAAUUAAUGAUCUCAUAGUAUGAAGAGAAUAACGCUAAUAUAGAAAGAAAUUAAAUGACAGAAUGCAUAAGAUAAGAAUCUAAUUAAAGCCACGCACGCUCUUGCAAUUCCGGCGAAAUGCAACAUUAAUGAAAACAAACAAAUUACAAUAAGAGUAAAAACUAACAAUUAAUUAGUUGUGUAUCAAUUGACUAACUUUCAAUUGCUAGUGUUUUCUACUAAUCAUAUGACAAUAGUGAAUCAAAAGAAGUUGUAGUAGCAGAAAAGGUGACACUUAGUAUCCUCAACGUAAUUAAAAAACAAUAUAUUUUGUUAUCCUUUGCUUAAUUAAUCUUUUCAUCGGUGUUGUUAAUGGGGCUUAUUUUCUGUCUUAUUCCUACAACAAAUAUUCCAUCAUGCUCCAUUAUUGUUAGAAGUCAAAAAAAGGCCAAGCUUAUACACAGUAGGAAUUCUAAUUAUAAUAAUAAGCUAAAGUAAAAUCUAAUGAGUCAUUAAAGGUCUUUCAGGACCUUCUCUACAUGCAUAGGCUUCUAUGAAACAUCUAUAAUCAAUAUUUGAAUAAAUAAGCAAGGACCUGCUGUUUCGGUCAUCCCCUUUCUUCCGGAUCUUCAAGCCACAUUCCCAGCUCCAUAUGUAACUGAAAUCACGCCAAAACCUACACCUGUUACCAAUAAACAAUAUGUCAGGUAUCCCACACCAGCAGAUUUGUGGCCAUCACAACUGCUUGGAGGAAAAAACUGUUGAUGUUCAAUUGAUCAAGUCGAACAAAAGAGCACUUCAAAUCAUUAAGAAGCUACUCAUAAAUAUUUUAUUAAAAAUGGAAUAGAAUUUUUACUUUUCAGAUAAAAAAAACAUGAAUAAUAUCAACCCCAAAGAAAAUAAUCUAACCAUACUUCUUUAGCAUGAAAUGGAGACAAAUAAGGGAUUAACUAAGAGUAAAAUUAAACUGACAUAUAUGUAGUUUAAUCAAAGAUUAUAUGGCUCAAAGAGCACAGUAUGGUAAGUUGUGACAUAUCAUAAAAUCAAUUUCAACAGAUCUCAUUUUACUCUUCAAUUUUGCAUUUUCACUUUUCAACAUGUGUAACACACUUCUCUCAAAAAAAAAAAAAACGUUUAACACACUUCACAUUCUAGUUUACUCCUUAUUUCAAUAAAAUUUUCAUUAGUUUAUUCAAAAAGAAACUACAUUUGAUGCAUCAAAUAGAAAUAGAAUCUAAUCCUCAAAUUACAUCAACAAUACUUGCAUGUACUGUCAUAUAUUGCAUUGGAAAGAAGAAAACGUAUGAAAAGUCAAGUUAAAUAUUGGAAACGGUGAAAUGAGGGGAGAAGAUAUUAAUAUGCCUUUGGGUACAUGCAUCGGCAGAGUGCAAUUGUUGUGGGAGGGAAAUUUAGAUUUUGAAUUUAGAGUGAUGAUUUAAUGCUUGUAUGAUAGAGGAAAAAUAUUAGGUUAAAAUUAAGGUAUGAGAUUGCUUGACGAAACAAGCUUUAGUUAAAAUUAAGGUAUGAAAUUGCUUGACGAAACAAGCUUUAGUAAGAAAAAUAAGAUUAUGAUUAUGAUAGGUAUAAAUUUAAACCUAAAUAAAAGUUCGAAGGAUUUAGAUCUUAAAAAGAAAAAGAAAUUGAAUUAAUUGAGUUAAAUAUUGCAAGCGGGGUCCAGCAAAAUAUGUGUCAGACCGUUUGCGAUCCAUUCGUGAAAUCGCUGUAACUAGCAUUUUUCAAUAUUAAAAAAACUUGGUAAAGCUACCUAAAUUUUUUACUAAUAUUCAAAUUGUGUAAUAAAAUAUCAACUUACUAGAAUCUGAAGAAAAAGCAAAAUGGCAACACUCCAAAUCAUUACUAUUGUAUUGCAGCAACAAAUUCAUAAGGGUAAACAAAAAGUCUACUAGCUCUACCAAACACAGACACCACAUAAACUGAAAUUGCAACAAUUGUGGCUCAUCAAAAUUAAUGCCGUAUUCAUGACUAAUAAUAAUUCAUUAUUAUUGGCAAGAGGAGAACGAGCACAUCAUAAGAGAUCAUAUUGCAAUAACUAAAAAAAUGCCAAACCAAGAAAAGAGAUCAACAUGAGCCCAAACUAUUUGGGGAAAGAGAUCAUGUUCAUCAAGAUUUCAAAGGUAUGCCUUUUAAAUUAACCACAAUUAAGUCCAAAAUUAAAAUUUAUAGCAUUAAAUGGAAAAAAUCCAUAAGAAAACAAAUCAUAAAAGAGUUUGUCUAACGGGCAAAUUUGCGCAGGAAGACAAGACUCAUAUCAGUAUCUUAAAAAACAAAAACAAAUAAUAUAGUGAAAACAAAACUCCUAUUAGAAGCUGCAUUAUCGUUACUUUUCCUUCAGCACUAUACUCUCCACACCAAUGUCUUUCCCAUUACCAUUCCUGCAAGGUUAAACAAGAAUUCAAUCAGUUUUUCUUUCUUUCUUUCUUUUCUUUUCCCUUUCAAAAAUGAAAGAAAUAAUAUAUAAAUUAAUUUACCUUUUCUUAAGCACCAACUUGCCAUUCACCACGUAACGAAAUACACUUUGGAAGUUUACGACCUUAUAUCUAUUUCCAGUUCUUUCACUACACAUCGUAAAAAUUAAAAAUCAAUUUUUGAUAAAGUAAAAUUAAAAAGAUAAAGGAGGGGGAAUAUAAAGUAAAAAAAUACAUUUGAAGCGUGUAAUGGGAAUCAUCACCCACUGCAACAGUGAUGAAGAGAUAUCGAGGAAGAUCAAACAUAACCGGUGAACUGCAAGAAAGAAUCGUGUGUGUGUUAGAAAAGAAAAAAUAUAAAAAAAAUAAAUCAAUAAAGGUAAUUUAAACUAUACUUACGGAUUGUAAGUGUUCAUCGAAAAUAGAAGGUGAAUUGUUUUCACGGAAAGAGAGGGUUUGGGAAAGUAUAGAUUUGUGAUAUUUAUAAAGAUAGAUUAGGGAUAUUUACACUAUAUCCGUUGUAGUAACGUGAUAUUUACAAGAAAAUUAAAGAUUGUGUAGUGAGGUAAUUUAAUUUAGAGAAAUUAGGGAUUGAGAAAUAUUUGUUUUUUGACAACUCUGUCUAAAAAAGAAUCGAUGCUUACCGGCGAUAAUUUGUGGAUUGUGAAUCUUCAUGAACGCUGAGGAUUUGUAGAUCUCAGCUCAUGUUUGAUAGGAUUUGUAGAACUCGGGUGAUUUGUUCAUCUCAGCUCUUAGGUGAUUUGGAUUGGGGAGGAUGAGUGGAUCGCAUGUCUAAUAGACUGAUACUUUGAAUGGUGAAUAAGGGAGGAGGGCGUACAUGGCAUAGGGAUCUGUAGGGAAGCUAACGGUGAGAGAGAUGAUGAGAAGCUUUUGGAGAAAAAACUAGAGAAAUUGGAGACGGCGAUGGACAGAAAGAAAUGACAAAUGAGAAGGAAGUGGUUGAUAUUUAGUGAGAGUAGGUAGGGGUGGGUACCCAAAAAAGUUUAAUUUCACCUUUAUUUUUUUAAUUAUAUUGUAUUUAUUUUCUUUUAAAUCAUCAUAACUUAUCCCCCAUUUCUAAUAAAUCUCAAUUUAAACACAUUAACCAAUCAAAAAUUUGGAGCUAUACAUUACUUCUUGCAUAAGCUAUUUUGACAUAAGCUCAAAUUAGUCUUAUAAAUAAUACAAAGUUUAUUUAUUUGCAUAAGCUCAAAUAAGUCUUUUCUAAAAAAACAAUAUACCAAGAUAUGUACACAAUUUUUUAUAAAAAUAAUUAAAUAUCCGACAUAUGUUUUUUUGUAGUUUUAGUCCUAACCCCCAUUUUCCCCUAAAAGAAAGUUGAUUUGUCUUAUUUUUAAAUUACGUGGACAAAAAACACUUAGGUGGCAUUUCCAACAUGGAAAAUGACAUUAACAUAUCAUCAAAUCAAAUUUUUUAAUUGAAAAAUAAUUAAAAUAUUUCAGAAAUUAAAAAAAAAAAAAAACAUUUCAUGGUCAAUUAAAAGAUCAAGUUAAAUAAAUUAUGGGAUUCCAAAAAUAAAACUAAAAACCCAAAAAUAUUCAUCUUCUUCAUUGGUCUCUUCAUCUUCAAUCUAGGAUAGAACUCAUACCCAAAAAUCAUCACAUAUCAACACAUCUCUCUUUCACCAUAGAUCACAAACACACAAAACCCUAUUUCCAAUUCAAUCAAAACCCUAAAUUUAUAAAUAAUAAAAUCCGAAAUCUGAAAUGAAAGAAGGAAAAUGUGCUGCUUCAACCCAAAUACGAAAAUCUCAUCUCUAUAUUUGCCCAAUGUAACUCAAGUAACCUGCACCACUUCUAGAUCUCUCUUUCACCUUCGUUUCUUUUUUUUUUCUUUCACGAAGCCAUGGACUAUCAUGUUAAUUUGACAAGAGUGAAUGAGACUGUAAGUUUCUUUGUUUUUCUUUCACAAAAUUGAUUGGAGUGAAGGAGACAUAUCUAUUUGUUUCAUGGGUUGUCGUGUUUAUGUGUUAUGUUUUGAUUUAAACCCAUAUUUGGUUAAUGAUGGUAAUAAACAUGGAUCUACCAAUAAUGAUGUUUGGUGGCGAUGAUGAUGAUGGUGGUGGUGAACGAUGGUGUUGGUAUGAUGAAGGAGGGAUGAUGAAUUGUAAAUGGAUCUACCUACCAUGGUGUUUGAUUUUAGGGAUGAUAAUGAACUAUUGAGAAGAUGGAUUAUAAAUGGAUGAAGAUAUGAAGGAAUGUUAACAAUUUUGGGUUUUGAUAUACCGUUGAGGUUUAUUUUAUUUUUUUAAUUAUGUACAUCUAUAUUUUUAAUUGUUUUCUAUCAUUUAAUUGAUUUAUAUGUAUUUUUGAAUAAUAAGAUAAUUGUUUUUCCAUGUAUGAUUUGCCACGUAAGCGUGUUUUUGGACACCUCAUCUGAAAAUCUGACACAUCAACAUUUUUUGAAGGAAAAUUUGGGGUUAGGAUUAAAACUGCAAAAAAAAAAAAAACAAUUGAAAGUGAUGCAAUAGUAAACUUAAUGAAAGUGAGAGUAGUAGAGUCGUCCGGCCAAGUAGUAGAGUCGUGUUGAGCCACCUAGGAUAGAGUGUUAACUCUAAUGUUGUUCUUGUUGAUUGUUCUGAGUUGUUGUUUCUUAUGUAGAACCUUGAGAUGACUGGUAAUAGUGAUGCUGCUCUUGUUGCUGCGCUUUAGGCUGUAGCUCAAGCUGUUCAACAGCAACCGAAAGUUGAUGCUGGUAAUGAUGGAACUAGGAUGUUGGAGACUUUCUUGAGGAAUCAACCACCAACAUUUAAAGGGAGGUAUGAUCCUGAUGGCGCCCAGAAGUGGCUUAAGGAGAUUGAAAGAAUUUUCAGGGUAAUGCAGUGUUCAGAGGUGCAAAAAGGUGCGGUUUGGAACGCACAAUGUUAGCGGAAGAGGUUGAUGACUGGUGGAUAAGUUUGUUGCCUGUGCUGGAGCUGGAUGGAGCUGCGGUAACUUGGGCUGUGUUCAGGAGAGAGUUCCUGAGUAGGUACUUCCCGGAAGAUGUCAGAGGUAAGAAAGAAAUAGAAUUUCUGGAGCUGAAACAGGGUGAUAUGUCAGUAACAGAAUAUGCUGCAAAGUUUGUGGAGCUUGCUAAGUUUUAUCCACAUUACACCGUUGAGACUGCUGAGUUCUCUAAGUGCAUAAAGUUCGAGAAUGGUCUGCGUGCUGAUAUUAAGCGGGCCAUUGGUUAUCAGAAGAUUAGAAACUUUUCUGAGUUGGUGAGUAGCUUUAGGAUUUAUGAGGAUGAUACCAAAGCUCAUUAUAAGGUGAUGAGUGAGCGGAGGAAUAAGGAUAAGAAUCGUUCUAAGCCGUACAGUACCCCGGGUGAACUUAGGUUGAAUGACGAGAGGAGGCCCAAGAGGGAAGAGAAAACAUAUAUGCAGCGGAAUGAUGUGCUUCUAGUAUCACUUCAAAAGCUGGUUGAGAGUGCUUCUGAUGUGAUGUUCAGAAUCAGAUAUGCAGCGGAAUGAAAACAGAGCAGAGAAAAAGGAAGAGAGACACAAGCAAUUAUCAUGGUUCCUUCCACAAACCGGAAGUAGUCCAGUCCCCCUUGUAUUUCCAAGGAGAUUUCCACUAAGAAAUAAUCACACAGAUUACAACUGCUCAAUACUCUCAAGUAUGAGACUUCUCAAAUGCUCAAGCACGCAGGCGAGAGACUUCCAAUGCUCAAGCACUAAAGCAAGAGUCUUCUAAUGCUCAAGCACGCAGGCGAGAGACUUCUAAUCAAACAGAAUUACACAGAAAAUUGUUUGACUUUGAACACUUGAUAUACAAUUAGUGGUGUUCACAAUACAAUGCAAUAAAGACUCUAGACUUAAGAAUUUCUAAGAUAUAUCAAAUCAGUGCAGAAAUUCAAAGUGCUUUUUAGAAUCAAAUUUGGCAGAGUUUUGGCGCUUUUAACUUGUGUUGAUGUCUCUUGCCAAUCUUCAAGUCUUCACUCCUUUAUAUAGUGGUGAGUAGAGAGACGUUGAGAUUUUUAGCACGUCUAAAGAGUCGUUGAGUUCCUUUGAUCAUCCACCAGUAAUCUUUUGCCUGAUUUGGGUGUAGUCCUAUGAAGGAUCAACUUCAAAUUCAUUCCUAUCUUGAAGGAACAUUUAUGCAGGCAGAGCUGUUGUCUUGUCUUGU